rnacentral:tRNA from 1 species
UGCAGUUAGCUCAGUGGUAGAGUGCUUGCCUAGCAUGUGUGAGGCACUGGGUUCAAUUCUCAGCACUGCAU